CGCGUAGGCGGCUGGGUAAGUCAAAGGUGAAAUCCCUCGGCUCAACCGAGGAACUGCCUUUGAAACUGCCCGGCUUGAGGCCGGGAGAGGGUAGUGGAAUUCCCAGUGUAGCGGUGAAAUGCGUAGAUAUUGGGAGGAACACCGGUGGCGAAGGCGGCUACCUGGACCGGUUCUGACGCUGAGGCGCGAAAGCGUGGGGAGCAAACA
rnacentral:rRNA from 1 species